UACGUAGGGUGCAAGCGUUAAUCGGAAUUACUGGGCGUAAAGCGUGCGCAGGCGGUUGUGCAAGACAGAUGUGAAAGCCCCGGGCUUAACCUGGGAACUGCGUUUGAAACUGGGAGACUUGAGUGUGGCAGAGGGGGGUGGAAUUCCACGUGUAGCAGUGAAAUGCGUAGAGAUGUGGAGGAACACCGAUGGCGAAGGCAGCCUCCUGGGCCAGCACUGACGCUCAUGCACGAAAGCGUGGGGAGCAAACAGG
rnacentral:rRNA from 1 species